AACGGCCGUACCAUGCUGAAUAUACCGGUUCUCGUUAGAUCACCGAAGUCAAGCAUCAUUGGGCGUGGUCAGUACUUGGGUGGGUGACCAUCUGGGAACACCGCGUGCCGUU